rnacentral:scRNA from 1 species
ACGCUGGGCUUACCACCGCCACGUCCAUCGUU